rnacentral:lncRNA from 1 species
AUUUAACAUGAAUUAGUUUUGAGAAAUUAAUUAAUUGGUACCAAAUACACAUAAAAUGUGUCACAAUGUAGCAGAAAAUGAAAAAACCUCCAAGCUGAUCGAUCAAAUUAAUAAAUAAAUGAGCCUGUAACUAAUGUCUACUUUUUCAACGUUUAAUGGUGACCGGGAAGCGGGAAGCUUCACUGCAGUUUCCGGGAAGCUUCACUGCAGUUUCUCUAAGCGUCUGUCCCUUGAGAGCUGCGAGCGUGGCUUGGUGAAAAAUUAGGCACCCAGCUAUAAAUACCUCACUUCAGCCAUAUCCAUCCCACUUCAACAAGUUCUUCAUUUUUCAUAUAUUUCUAUCAGUUCUAUUUCCCUACUUUACC